rnacentral:sRNA from 1 species
UGUAAAAAUGCCCACCAACGAUGGAUUC